rnacentral:lncRNA from 1 species
UCUUUCUUCAAAACAGGUGGUCCUCUUCUUUUCUCUGAUCUUCACGUGAUUUAUGUGUUAAUUACAGUGCUUAACCAAACACUCAAUACUAAAAUAAAAGGAAACUUUUUAAAAAAUAAAUCUAAGUAAUGUUUUACACCUAGCAAUUACAUAAUUUUUCCAUAUAAACAAGCACAGCCAAUAAUCAUUAGAAUUUGAUAUUUAAUAAAAUAUUAAAAUCAAGUAAAAACAAAAGAAAAAUUAUUUUACGAGAGAAGGUUGAAAUUUGUAGAGUAAGGACGAGAGUGAUAUUUUCCAUCUAAGUAAACGUCCCCAUUAACACUGUAGAUAAGAAGCUCUUUUUGUGUACAAAAUUUCUCAUCUCUCUCUUUUCUGUUACUAGGUACCUAAACCUUGAUGAUCUGAUCCUCUCUUCUCCCCAUAAAUCCUUUUUGUCACAACCAAAGUUAAUCUCUAUCCCUUAUUGGAGUCCAGAAAGGUCCUACGGUUAGCCUAGUUCUAUGUCCUUUGUGAAAAGUUUUUUAUUUGAAAACAAAUCUCCUAUUAUACUUUGUAGGGGUACUACAUACUCCGACCAAUCAAAAGCAGCCACG